UACGAAGGGAGCUAGCGUUGUUCGGAAUCACUGGGCGUAAAGCGCACGUAGGCGGAUGUGUCAGUCAGGGGUGAAAUCCCGGAGCUCAACUUCGGAACUGCCUUUGAUACAGCACGUCUUGAGUCCGAUAGAGGUGGGUGGAAUUCCUAGUGUAGAGGUGAAAUUCGUAGAUAUUGGGAAGAACACCAGUGGCGAAGGCGGCUCACUGGCCCGUAACUGACGCUGAGGUGCGAAAGCGUGGGGAGCAAACAGG
rnacentral:rRNA from 1 species